UACGAAGGGGGCUAGCGUUGCCCGGAAUCACUGGGCGUAAAGGGCGCGCAGGCGGGGCUUUAAGUCAGGGGUGAAAUCCUGGAGCUCAACUCCAGAACUGCCUUUGAUACUGAAGAUCUUGAGUUCGGGAGAGGUGAGUGGAACUGCGAGUGUAGAGGUGAAAUUCGUAGAUAUUCGCAAGAACACCAGUGGCGAAGGCGGCUCACUGGCCCGAUACUGACGCUGAGGCACGAAAGCGUGGGGAGCAAACAGG
rnacentral:rRNA from 1 species